AUUGAACGCUGGCGGCAGGCCUAACACAUGCAAGUCGAACGAGUGGCGGACGGGUGAGUAAUGUCUGGGAAACUGCCUGAGGGAGGGGGAUAACUACUGGAAACGGUAGCUAAUACCGCAUACCAUCAGAUGUGCCCAGAUGGUAGUGUCUAGUUGGUGGGGUAACGGCUCACCAAGGCGACGAUCCCUAGCUGGUCUGAGAGGAUGACCAGCCACACUGGAACAGAUACACGGUCCAGACUCCGACGGGAGGCAGCAGUGGGGAAUAUUGCACAAUGGGCGCAAUCCUGAUGCAGCCAUGCCGCGUGUAUGAAGAAGUCCUUCGGGUUGUAAAGUACUUUCAGCGGGGAGGCGGUACACACAGAAGAAGCACCGGCUAACUCCGUGCCAGCAGACGCGGUAAUAC
rnacentral:rRNA from 1 species